AACGAACGCUGGCGGCGUGCUUAACACAUGCAAGUCGAACGCGAACGGAUUCUUCGGGACCUUAGUAGAGUGGCGCACGGGUGAGUAACGCGUAAGUUAUCUACCUCGGCAUCUGGAAUAACUCACCGAAAGGUGUGCUAAUACCGGAUACGUUGAGUAAUCAAGAAAGGUGGCCUCUCUUUGAUGCUACCGUGCUGAGAUGAGCUUGCGUACCAUUAGCUAGUUGGUGGGGUAAUGGCCUACCAAGGCGACGAUGGUUAGCGGGUCUGAGAGGAUGAUCCGCCACACUGGAACUGGAACACGGACCAGACUCCUACGGGAGGCAGCAGUGAGGAAUAUUGCGCAAUGGGGGCAACCCUGACGCAGCGACGCCGCGUGGAUGAUGAAGGCCUUCGGGUCGUAAAAUCCUGUCAGGUGGAAAGAAAUGUUUAUGUGCUAAUACCAUGUAGACUUGACGGUACCACCGAAGGAAGCACCGGCUAACUCCGUGCCAGCAGCCGCGGUAA
rnacentral:rRNA from 1 species